rnacentral:rRNA from 1 species
GUGGGGAAUCUUGCGCAAUGGGCGAAAGCCUGACGCAGCAACGCCGCGUGUGUGAUGAAGGUCUUCGGAUCGUAAAGCACUGUCGGGAGGGACGAAUAAGGUGCCGGCUAACACUCGGCGCCGAUGACGGUACCUCCAAAGGAAGCACCGGCUAACUCUGUGCCAGCAGCCGCGGUAAUACAGAGGGUGCAAGCGUUGUUCGGAAUUAUUGGGCGUAAAGCGCGUGUAGGCGGUUCAGCAAGUCGGAUGUGAAAGCCCUCGGCUUAACCGAGGAAGGGCGUUCGAAACUACUGAACUUGAGUGCCGGAGAGGGUGGCGGAAUUCCCGGUGUAGAGGUGAAAUUCGUAGAUAUCGGGAGGAACACCAGCGGCGAAGGCGGCCACCUGGACGGUAACUGACGCUGAGACGCGAAAGCGUGGGGAGCAAACAGGAUUAGAAACCCCUGUAGUCC